GUGUCAGCCGCCGCGGUAAUACGUAGGGUGCAAGCGUUAAUCGGAAUUACUGGGCGUAAAGCGUGCGCAGGCGGUUUUGUAAGUCUGACGUGAAAUCCCCGGGCUCAACCUGGGAAUUGCGUUGGAGACUGCAAGGCUAGAAUCUGGCAGAGGGGGGUAGAAUUCCACGUGUAGCAGUGAAAUGCGUAGAGAUGUGGAGGAACACCGAUGGCGAAGGCAGCCCCCUGGGUCAAGAUUGACGCUCAUGCACGAAAGCGUGGGGAGCAAACAGGAUUAGAUACCCUGGUAGUCCACGCCCUAAACGAUGUCUACUAGUUGUCGGGUUUUAAUUAACUUGGUAACGCAGCUAACGCGUGAAGUAGACCGCCUGGGGAGUACGGUCGCAAGAUUAAAACUCAAAUGAAUUGACGGGG
rnacentral:rRNA from 1 species